GGUAGCUUAUGCUUUGGGGUGCAAUUGUAAGUGGGAUUGACUCCUUAAUUUUCGAGGCUCUUCUAACAACAACCUGUCACUCAACAGCUCUGUCUAUGUCCAUUUAUUUCCCAGGAUCUGCUGUGAACAUAACACAACCAGAACCCAGAGGACAACCUGGGGACACCUGCCCUGCAACACAAACAAAAAUUCUUCCCAUCUUCCGUUACAGAAAAGUUCAGCCAACGGAUCAGAGCCCAGAGGGAUCUGCUGUGAACAUAACACAACCAGAACCCAGAGGACAACCUGGGGACACCUGCCCUGCAACACGAACAAAAAUUUUUCCCAUCUUCCGUUACAGAAAAGUUCAGCCAACGGAUCAGAGCCCAGAGGGUAACAUGAAAAUUGAUUCAUUAAAUAGCCUCAAGAAAUCUUGUCCUAAGGGCACCUGGGUGUUUCUGUCAGCUAAGUUUCUGCCUCCUGGUUUUCAGCUCUGGUCAUGACCUCAAGGUCAUCAGAUUCACCCAUAUUCAGCAUGGAGCCUGCUUUGUAUUCUCUCUUCCUUUCCCUCUGCCCCUCUCCUCCUUACACUUGCUCUUUUGCUCUCUCCACACACGCAACACAGAAUCAUUAGUCAGUUUUGCCGGGGUGCCAUAGUAAAGACAAACCUCCUAAGCCGUAUUCUUUGUUUCAUGUGUCCACAUCUUAAUUUAAAAGGUCAGUCAUUAGUUUGUGGCCAAAAUAGUGAAAUCGCAUUGAGAACUCUAAUUUGGUCAGUUUUAAUGGGAAGGGUUGUGAAGAUAACAUUUGGACAUACUAGUCCAUUUUAAAUAUUAGAAAAUGUUUUCUGUUUUUACAUUUUUUUAUUGGAGUUCAAUUUGCCAGUAUAUAGCAUAACACCCAGUGCUCAUCCCGCCAGGUGCCCCCAUCAGUUCCCUUCUCCCAGUCAUCCCAACCACCUGCACAGCACCCCUUCCACUACCCCUUGUUCAGUUCCCAGAGUUUGGUGUGUCUCCUGUUUUGUCACCCUCACUGAUAUUUUCCCUCAUUUCGCCAUUCCCUUUAUUCCCUUUCACCAGUUUUUAUAUUCCCCAAAUGAAUGAGACCAUAUCAAGUUUGUCCUUUUCUGAUGGACUUAUUUCACUCAGCGUAAGUCCCUCCAGGUCUGUCCAUGUCAGAUCAAAUGGUGGGUAUUUGUCGUCUCUCAUGGCUGAGGAAUAAUUCCAUUGUAGCCGUGGACCACAUCUUCUUUAUCCCUUCAUCUCUCGA
rnacentral:lncRNA from 12 species